GCUCCAGUGGACUAGUGGUUAGAGCGUUCGCCUCUGAUGCGAAAGGUCGUGAGUUCGAUCCCCGGUCGAGUCA